GAUGAACGCUGGCGGCGUGCUUAAUACAUGCAAGUCGAACGAGGAGCCUUUGUAGUAAUACGGAGGAUUUCCUAGUGGCGAACGGGUGAGUAACGCGUUGGUGACCUGCCCCGAAGUGUGGGAUAACAGUCCGAAAGGAUUGCUAAUACCUCAUGUGGUCAUAGAGGUUAGAGGCUCUUUGACUAAAGCAGCAAUGCGCUUCGGGAGGGACCUGCGUCCCAUCAGCUAGUUGGUGAGGUAAAAGCCCACCAAGGCGAUGACGGGUAGGGGACCUGAGAGGGUGACCCCCCACAAUGGAACUGAAACACGGUCCAUACACCUACGGGAGGCAG
rnacentral:rRNA from 1 species